rnacentral:tRNA from 1 species
UGCGGGCGUGAUGGAACUGGGAUACAUGCCGGUUUUAGGUGCCGGUGCUCGUGAGAGCAUGAGGGUUCGAAUCCCUCCGCCCGCACCCA